UGGACUUUCUCAUUAGAAGGUGUC
rnacentral:siRNA from 1 species